GACUGCUAUCGGAUUGAGAUUUAGCCAUGUGAGUCGAACGUCCCCCUGUUGCGGGGGGCGUGGCGUACGGCUCAGUAACACGUGGUCAACCUGCCCUGGAGACAUGGACAACCCCGGGAAACUGGGAUUAAUCCGUGAUAGGUCAUCCCAUCUGGAAGGAGGGAUGGCUUAAAGGGGCGCGCGGGCUUCUUCCGUGCGUUCGCUCCAGGAUGGGACUGCGUCCGAUCAGGCUGUUGGCGGGGUAAUGGCCCACCAAACCUGUAACCGGUACGGGCCUUGAGAGAGGUGGCCCGGAGAUGGACACUGAGAGAAGGGUCCAGGUCCUACGGGGCGCAGCAGGCGCGAAACCUUCGCAAUGCGCGAAAGCGUGACGAGGUUAAUCCGAGUGGCCUCCGCUGAGGAGGUCUUUUGUCAGCUGUAAAUAGGCGGGCGAAUAAGGGGAGGGCAAGCCUGGUGUCAGCCGCCGCGGUAAUACCAGCUCCUCGAGUGGUCGGGGCGAUUAUUGGGCCUAAAGCACCCGUAGCCGGUUCCGUAGGUCCUCUGUUAAAUCCAUCCGCUCAACGGAUGACCUGCAGAGGAUACCGCGGGACUAGGAGGCGGGAGAGGCGGACGGUACUCCGCGUGUAGGGGUAAAAUCCUUUGAUCCGCGGAAGACCACCAGUGGCGAAGGCGGUCCGCCAGA
rnacentral:rRNA from 1 species